rnacentral:rRNA from 1 species
UGCGUAGGCGGGUAUGCAAGUCAUGUGUGAAAUACCGGGGCUCAACUCCGGAACUGCACAAGAAACUGCAUAUCUUGAGUGCAGGAGAGGUAAGCGGAAUUCCUAGUGUAGCGGUGAAAUGCGUAGAUAUUAGGAGGAACACCAGUGGCGAAGGCGGCUUACUGGACUGUAACUGACGCUGAGGCACGAAAGCGUGGGGAGCAAACA